GUUGCUCCUGUGUCAAUGUAGUGCGUGUUGUUUGUUUGCAUUGCAUUGCACAGUACACGACACGAUAAGAGCACGCGCGCAAUUGUGGCUUCCUUCUGUUCGAGGAACUUUCACACU
rnacentral:ribozyme from 1 species